UAGAAUGGAAUCCAAUGUAAUCAUCUUCGAAUAGAAAACAAAGCAAUCAUUAAAUGUACUCUAAUGGAAUCAUCGAAUGGACUCGAAUGGAAUCAUCGUUGAAUGGAAUAUAAUGGAAUCAUCGCAUGCAAUCGAAUGGAAUCAUCGAAUGGACUCGAAUGGAAUCAUCAUAGAAUGGAAUUGAAAGGAAUCAUCAAAUGGAAUUGAAUGAAAUCAUUGAAUGGACUCAAAAGGAAUCAUCAUCGAAUGGUAUUGAAUGGAAUCGUUGAGUUUACUCUAAUGGGAUAAUCAUUGAAUGGAAUUGAAUGCAAUCAUUGAAUGGAAUAGAAUGGAAUCAUCAUUGAAUGGAAUCAAAUGGAAUCCUCAAUGAAUGGAAUCGAAUGGAAUCAUCAUCGAAUGGAAUUGAACGGAAACAUCAGCGAAUGGAAUCGAAAGGAAUCAUCAUGGAAUAGAUUCGAAUGGAAUCAUUGAAUGGAAUGGAAUGGAAUCAUC
rnacentral:lncRNA from 1 species